GAGACCCUAGUAAAUACAUUACACUGCCUUGUCAGGGCAAAAUUGUGGGUUUAAAUCCCACGGAUCUUA